CUGAUUAUAUUAAAGAGCCGCAGUAUUCUGACUGUGCGAAGGUAGCAUAAUAAAUUGUCUUUUAAAUGGAGGCUUGAAUGAAAGGUUGGACAAAGUAUCAUCUGUUUCUUAAAUAUUUAUUGAAUUUGACUUUCAAGUGAAAAGGCUUGAAUAAAUUAAAAAGACGAUAAGACCCUAUAAAUCUUUACAAUAAACAUGUUCUAUGUUUUAAUUUAUAAGUAUAUAAAAUAUUAAAUUUGUAUUUGUUUCGCUGGGGCGGCGUGGAUAUAUUAAUAAACUGUCUAUGUGUUAAAUCCAAUAAUUAUUGAUUAGUGAGAUUGAUCCUUAAAUAGAUUAAAAGAUUAAGAUACUUUAGGGAUAACAGCGUUAUUUUUUUUGAGAGUUCUUAUCGAAGAAAAAGUUUGCGACCUCGAUGUUGAAUUAAAGUAUCUUUAUGGUGCAGCCGCUAUAAGAGAGAGUCUGUUCGACUUUUAAUACUUUACAUGAUCUGA
rnacentral:rRNA from 1 species